rnacentral:rRNA from 1 species
GACGAACGCUGGCGGCGUGCUUAACACAUGCAAGUCGAACGGAAAGGCCCUGCUUUUGUGGGGUGCUCGAGUGGCGAACGGGUGAGUAACACGUGAGUAACCUGCCCUUGACUUUGGGAUAACUUCAGGAAACUGGGGCUAAUACCGGAUAGGAGCUCCUGCUGCAUGGUGGGGGUUGGAAAGUUUCGGCGGUUGGGGAUGGACUCGCGGCUUAUCAGCUUGUUGGUGGGGUAGUGGCUUACCAAGGCUUUGACGGGUAGCCGGCCUGAGAGGGUGACCGGCCACAUUGGGACUGAGAUACGGCCCAGGCUGCUACGGGAGGCAGCGGUGGGGAAUAUUGCACAAUGGGCGGGAGCCUGUUGCAGCACCGCCGCGUGCGGGAUGACGGCCUUCGGGUUGUAAACCGCUUUCGCCUGGGACGAAGCGUGAGUGACGGUAAUGGGUAAAGAAGCACCGGCUAACUACGUG